ACUUGUAACCGAUGCUUUCCAUUCCCUAGUACCCGCAGGCUUGAAGUCCCUGGGCAUUGAGUCCCCGAGCGAGCGAGACCAUGGUGCACACGCUCAGUUUUUGGGUGGAACACCCCCCGGACACGACAAGAUCAUCGGGACUCUGGGGAACAUGAUAUCACGGAGGCCUAAAGUCUUCUCAGCUUCAGUUUCCACGACCCCUCGGAAGCAGCCUUGCCGUAGUAAAACCAUAUGGAGUGGACACAGCCCACUCCACAGCCAGCAGGGGAAGUGGCCGGUCCAAAGCCAGAAGUCCAGCCUUCUCUACGAACCGGUCCAGAAAAUGACUCCCAGUCUAUCAUUGGUCCAGCGUCCCUUUGGCCCACCCAUAAGUGCUCUUCUGGGUUUUCAUUGGGCAGAGAAAGGUCUUCCGCGCGAUUAGUAAUGUAUAUCCGUUUCCGUCACGAUCACCGUGGCAACCACAAAACGGUGCCGUGAUGGUUUCUGGGAAACAGUGUGCCUUUGUCUGAGCAUCCUGAGCCAAUGAAACUUCAGAGGUAUGGUUUAAAUUUCGAGAGCAGCAGCGGAAAGGGCGGGACUUCUGGUCCCCACGCGGGUCCUGUGUUGCAUUCUUUAUGUAGCUCGUUCACCUCUCAGCCCCUGGCGCUCCGCUAGAAGGAACGGACAGAGAGUGUCAGGAUGUAGUAGAACCUGCGUCAAGAGGCUCGGGCUCUUCGCUCUUGGCUUUAGUUCCUGUGGUCCCCGGAGGUUUCUCAAGUUAGGAAGAUCGAGAGCCUGAGGGCCGAUACCCAUUAUUACAUAUUCCUUUGUCAUUAAGCCAAUGGAAGUGUGAAGGUUAGGCUAACCCGAGAGGAUCUGCCCAGCCCAGAGCUUGUACGCUGACAGACCCAAACUACAGUGAAGAGAGUGCCCAAGAUCUAGUGCAGGGAGAUCUGGCAUCUCAAGUUCCUGGAGUCUUGUAGGACAUGAUAUUCAAAACUGUAUGGAUCUGAAAAUUGCUGAAGGAAGACCCCAGACUCAGUAUGCAAAGACAAAGAGUAUUUAUUCUGCAGAUACAACCAUUUUUGAAAUGGUGAACCUAGACAAAGGUGCACAGGCCUUAUAGGGAACUCUAGAAGGAUUAGGUAAUCUAAAAUCUAAUUGGUGCGUGCUAGGGAGUCACAGGUGGUCAGUGGUCUGUAUUCCUAUGUCAUGAACGCUUAACCAUAGGAUGAGAUAGCACAGAUGGCCCAUCCUGAGAAAAGAUAUUUCCCNUUUUUUUUUUUUUUUUUUUUUUUUUGNUGGUCCCCAGGGCAUUCUUCCAGAGUUGGUCUGGAUUUCAUGGUCUUUCUCUGGAGCUGGUGUCUUAGGGCCUAGUUUCUGGGGCUUAUGGUCUGUUGUGGAGCUGCUAUUCUAUGGCCUUUUUAUUUUUUGAAAUUAGAGCCUGGUCCUUAAAUGGAGAUAAAUGGGGUCUAUAAAUAGAGGCAAAUGG
rnacentral:lncRNA from 1 species